rnacentral:rRNA from 1 species
AGUCGAACGGUAACAGCCAAGCAGCUUGCUUCUUUGCUGACGAGUGGCGGACGGGUGAGUAAUGUCUGGGAAACUGCCUGAUGGAGGGGGAUAACUACUGGAAACGGUAGCUAAUACCGCAUAACGUCGCAAGACCAAAGAGGGGGACCUUCGGGCCUCUUGCCAUCGGAUGUGCCCAGAUGGGAUUAGCUAGUAGGUGGGGUAACGGCUCACCUAGGCGACGAUCCCUAGCUGGUCUGAGAGGAUGACCAGCCACACUGGAACUGAGACACGGUCCAGACUCCUACGGGAGGCAGCAGUGGGGAAUAUUGCACAAUGGGCGCAAGCCUGAUGCAGCCAUGCCGCGUGUAUGAAGAAGGCCUUCGGGUUGUAAAGUACUUUCAGCGGGGAGGAAGGGAGUAAAGUUAAUACCUUUGCUCAUUGACGUUACCCGCAGAAGAAGCACCGGCUAACUCCGUGCCAGCAGCCGCGGUAAUACGGAGGGUGCAAGCGUUAAUCGGAAUUACUGGGCGUAAAGCGCACGCAGGCGGUUUGUUAAGUCAGAUGUGAAAUCCCCGGGCUCAACCUGGGAACUGCAUCUGAUACUGGCAAGCUUGAGUCUCGUAGAGGGGGGUAGAAUUCCAGGUGUAGCGGUGAAAUGCGUAGAGAUCUGGAGGAAUACCGGUGGCGAAGGCGGCCCCCUGGACGAAGACUGACGCUCAGGUGCGAAAGCGUGGGGAGCAAACAGGGAUUAGAUACCCUGGUAGUCCACGCCGUAAACGAUGUCGACUUGGAGGUUGUGCCCUUGAGGCGUGGCUUCCGGAGCUAACGCGUUAAGUCGACCGCCUGGGGAGUACGGCCGCAAGGUUAAAACUCAAAUGAAUUGACGGGGGCCCGCACAAGCGGUGGAGCAUGUGGUUUAAUUCGAUGCAACGCGAAGAACCUUACCUGGUCUUGACAUCCACGGAAGUUUUCAGAGAUGAGAAUGUGCCUUCGGGAACCGUGAGACAGGUGCUGCAUGGCUGUCGUCAGCUCGUGUUGUGAAAUGUUGGGUUAAGUCCCGCAACGAGCGCAACCCUUAUCCUUUGUUGCCAGCGGUCCGGCCGGGAACUCAAAGGAGACUGCCAGUGAUAAACUGGAGGAAGGUGGGGAUGACGUCAAGUCAUCAUGGCCCUUACGACCAGGGCUACACACGUGCUACAAUGGCGCAUACAAAGAGAAGCGACCUCGCGAGAGCAAGCGGACCUCAUAAAGUGCGUCGUAGUCCGGAUUGGAGUCUGCAACUCGACUCCAUGAAGUCGGAAUCGCUAGUAAUCGUGGAUCAGAAUGCCACGGUGAAUACGUUCCCGGGCCUUGUACACACCGCCCGUCACACCAUGGGAGUGGGUUGCAAAAGAAGUAGGUAGC